rnacentral:lncRNA from 1 species
ACUGUUGGGAAGGCAUGAUUGGUUUUGAAAUAUGAAAGCAGCAUCAUUUCAAGAACUUGGACUGAUAUAAAUAAUAAACAUGAAGUCCAGGUGUAGGGCUGGCUGUAAACAUGUUGCAAUAAGAUUUUCAGGAACCUAAGUUCUUCCCAUAAUUGUGAUAUGGUUGUCACAAUUCCGGGCAUCACAGCCUGCAAAGAAUCUCCAGAGCAGAAAGGGGAUCAUGUUUUCUUUUGUCUUUUUUCUUUAAAGAAAGAAAUGAUUUCCUAGAAGUUUGCUGCAGACUUCCUCUGUGUCUCAUUGAAUUAUGCUGUUCGAAAGGAUUCUUGCUGUGUUCUUUGACUGCAGCCCUCAGAUAUGAGUGAGGAGAGAGUGACAUGCACAGAGACAAAAUUCCCCUUUUCAAAAUGAAAGAACGGAAGACGUUCAGCUCACAAAAGUAAAGAAACCCUGGAAUCUGGAUAACCUGUUGUGUAAUUUACGCUAGAAUAACCUUUUAUAAAGUGUUUUAAGCACUAUUUAUCUGACAAUUAUAAGACAAGACUCAGAAAAAAAUGGAUCAAUGAAACAGAAAAUGUCCCAAAUGAGAUGGUCAAAAUAAUCUAUGACUUGGAAAAUAAAAGCAGGAACUAAGACUGUGGCCGUGAGUGUUUGAGGAACUAAAUUCCUAGUGUUUAAGUCCUGAAAGAAUAAAGUUUCAGCUAAUAUGCGUUCUGUUCCUAUUGCUUUGAUAAUUAAUCGUGGCAUUUUCAU